AUUGAACGCUGGCGGCAGGCCUAACACAUGCAAGUCGAGCGGAUGAGGGGAGCUUGCUCCUGGAUUUAGCGGCGGACGGGUGAGUAAUGCCUAGGAAUCUGCCUGGUAGUGGGGGAUAACGUCCGGAAACGGGCGCUAAUACCGCAUACGUCCUGCGGGAGAAAGUGGGGGAUCUUCGGACCUCACGCUAUCAGAUGAGCCUAGGUCGGAUUAGCUAGCUGGUGGGGUAAAGGCCUACCAAGGCGACGAUCCGUAACUGGACUGAGAGGAUGAUCAGUCACACGAGAGCGGGGACACGGUCAAGGGUACUGCGAGAGGCAGCAGUGGGCAAUAUGAGACAGUAGGGGAGAGUCUGAUACAGUCAGGCCACGUGUGUGGAGACGGUCUUCGGAGUGUAAAGCAGGUUAAGUUGGGGGGAAGGGCAGUAAGUUAAUACCUUGCUGUUUUGACGUUACCAACAGAAUAAGCACCGGCUAACUUCGUG
rnacentral:rRNA from 1 species